rnacentral:tRNA from 1 species
ACCCCGAUAGCCCAAUGGAUAAGGCGGCAGCCUCCGGAGCUGUAGAUGGGGGUUCGAUCCCCUCUCGGGGUGCCA